rfam:Gossypium arboreum cultivar AKA8401 contig_48412_1, whole genome shotgun sequence.
UAUUAAAAUUUUCAUCCAUUUGUACAGUUAAAAACUGCCGUGACUGAUAGAAUAACCAGAAAAUGACACAUGGCAUAUCACAUGUACCUCAUACUUAUGUAUAAGUACCAGGUUUUAACAAUAGAAAUGGAUGAAAAUUCUAACA